rnacentral:lncRNA from 1 species
CUGCCCGUGUCCCUGCCCUGCGCCUGUGCCGUGCGCGCCCACCCAGGCCUCUCACUCUCGCAACUGACCCGACUCCACGCUGCCAGCCUGACCACAACGGGAGAAGGCGGGUGUUGUCUGAAAUCGCUCCUCUUCAAACGUACUCCGUUCUGUCGAAAGAGAGAGCGUCCCAGGCCAGCGCAGGCGGGCGGGGUUUGUUACCCACAGCAGGACGGAGAAGGUCAGCUGGUGACAGGGAGGCUGCUGCUGGCCCCGGUGAGCCUCCCCAGGCCCCUGAGAGGAAGCUCGAGAAACGGGGUGCUGAGAACUGUCAGAAAGGCCAUAAAGAUUCUUCAACCAAAUCUAUCAUGGACUUGACUUGGACACACAUUCUAUAGCUAAGUCAGCCGGAGGUUCUUAUGAAUUAAUGUUGGAAGACGGCCUAACACCAAUGUAAUAGAGACAUCCUUUCAAAUAGUACCCUCCAGUGACAAAUUCAUUCAGAACAUUUUGAUCAGUUAAAUGUUC